rnacentral:rRNA from 1 species
AACGAACGCUGGCGGCAGGCUUAACACAUGCCAGUCGAACGCCCCGCAAGGGGAGUGGCAGACGGGUGAGUAACGCGUGGGAACAUACCCUUUUCUACGGAAUAGCUCUGGGAAACUGGAAUUAAUACCGUAUACGCCCUACGGGGGAAAGAUUUAUCGGGGAAGGAUUGGCCCGCGUUGGAUUAGCUAGUUGGUGGGGUAAAGGCCUACCAAGGCGACGAUCCAUAGCUGGUCUGAGAGGUUGAUCAGCCACAUUGGGACUGAGACACGGCCCAAACUCCUACGGGAGGCAGCAGUGGGGAAUAUUGGACAAUGGGCGCAAGCCUGAUCCAGCCAUGCCGCGUGAGUGAUGAAGGCCUUAGGGUUGUAAAGCUCUUUCACCGAUGAAGAUAAUGACGGUAGUCGGAGAAGAAGCCCCGGCUAACUUCGUG